AUGAGUAAUUUAACCAGAGUAACGAAAUAAUAAUAUUCCAUUUUGUAGCACAUUGAUAAUGUUGAUGUUCUCAACAUUUCAAACCGUUAUGUAAGCCGAAAUUGAAGAAGUUAAAACGCACAAGUAUACGCUUGAAAUGCGUUCAAUAUCCAUUGGUCGUAGGAUGGUCAACAAUGCCAUUGACUUGAACUUUUCGUCGGAUGGAGCUUGGUGUUGUCCUUGUUGGUGACUCUAGGUGCCGUUACCAUGCCAACCAGGACCAGACAGGGUUCAGUUUUCAGUUUGCAAUGGGCACGCCUCACAAAUGUUUCCCUCAAACAUGACGACCGCAAAGCAACAUAAAAAAAGGAUGGCAAUUGAAACAUGAGCCUAUUACUUUAAUUAGAUGUUAGAAUGGUUUCCAUUCAUGAUUAUUCUGUUAUUUACAUUAGCUCCAUGACACCCCCAUACUGACGUAUACUUAUUUUAAGAAAAUAAGGCGACCCCAGAUGUGAUUAUCUAGUAGUGUUAGUUAUCAGAAUCUGAAUUCAUUGGUCGUUCGUGAAGAACCCAUACUAAGGCAUUAUAUUUUCGCAUAUUACUAUGGCCCGAUUAAAUAUCAAUAACCCAAUAGGAAGCCGUAUGGUAUCUGAUUACACUGUCACUCCUCAUGUCACGUAGUCUGUGAACGACUAAGACAUAUUACACUAGGCCACAAACGCAUCGGCUGUAUGUAUGUAUAUAAAAAAAUGAGGUAUGGCGGAAAGACAGGAUGUGCAGCCUACAUGUCAAAUACACCAAAUGCUGGAUAGAUGUCUGGCCUGAAAACUAAGCAAACAAAAUCAAAAGACAACGGGCAACUGAACUGACUCUUAAUCUUGAAUGUGUAUAUCAUUUGGAUUGAUUGCAGGAAUAGACAAGCCGUGAAGUGUUUUUGUUUGCUUGUGGCCGUUUGCUAUGAUGUUUCCCUUUAAGAAAGAGAAUAUGUAUUAUGUAUGUGUAUUUUAUGUGUGGAUAUGUGAAUCUGUGAACCGGAUAAGUUUUGUUUGCCAAGAGGACAUCCGAACAAGCGUCGCCGUCAGACGCCAAUGACGCCGUCGAUGUCACACUUGGAUUGUUGACACGAGCAGUAGCGUAAAUGAGUUAUGAAUUUCGUAGUCACGGAUUUCCAACCCUUUCCAUAGCUGAUACGUUUUUAUAGUAAUUUAAAAUAAUUUGUGUUUUGAAUAAAC